GGGCGGGGGACAGGGGGCGAGGCGGGAUGUCUCAGUCACCGGAGGCUGGCGAGGAGGUGAGUAGGACGGAGGCCGCUCACAGUCACGCUCGCAGGUUCCUGCCCCGGCCACAGUUCGCUGCCCGCCCAAGGUCGGGGCCCCGCCUGGGGCCCCCGGACGGACGCUCCCCUCCCCGACGCACAGCGUUCUACCCUACCCCGCGGCUUUCUCGGGAGCACGCGGACCGCUCCGGUCCCACGGCUUCCUCCCGCAGCCCCUCUCCCCUGCCCUGGGCCCGCGGCGGGAAGGGUUCCGGGGACCCGGCGGGCCGGGCCAGGGGCGGAGCGGGACCGUUGUGACACGCUCCCCCCCACCCCCCACCCCCCGCCCGGGGCAGGGUGGGGCGGGACACGCAAAUUAGCGAGUCCUCCGCUAGGGAAGGACGGGAGGGAGCGGAAAGGGACGCGAAAAUUCACCAGGAAUGCGGGGGGCAACUGCAACUGCACCGCGUGUGGCGCGUACCCCGGGAUAGUGAGUCAAGAAUGUGGACUGAGCGUGACCUGGCUCACCGUUUUGAAGGUCUAAAUAUCCGAAUCCGGCGACAUCCUCCAAAUGCAACGGACUGCUCAUUGGCUGUCCUACCGGGCCUGUGAAAUAUUGCUUCUCCAGUAUUUCCAAUACAUCUCCAACAGAUUAAGGUCACUCUGUGACCGUGAUGAAUCAAGACAGAAACAAGGCCACUCCGUAGUCGCCUCCGAACUGAGACAAGAAAAAAGAAGAAUAUUGUCCAAACAACAAAGCUGACCAAACACCCCCUAUCCUAGCUAAUAUGAGUAACUGCUGCUACUUUCCCAGUCGCAGUUUUGGCCUCGCUCUAUUCUUCCUUUCUCCUAGGUGUGUUCCUGGUGGUCUUUGGCUGGAUGGCGUUGACAAGUUAUUAAGAGGGUCCACCGAUGGACCCAUAUGGGAACUGCGACGUGGAAUGCGUUUUAUUCUAACAAGCAAAGUUCCCCCCCCCCCC